GGGCCUGGGCCUGAAGCCAAGCCUGAGGGUGGAACCCUUGGGAAUGUACUCCGGAUAGCUAGUCUCUCCCUCAGGGCCAGGGCCAAGGAUAGGGCCCAGACAUCCUCCUGCUCCUAUCUCAGCCUCCCUGGCUCAGUCUUUCUUCCCUUUGUCCUCUCCCUUCCUCUGUCUGUCUGUCUGUCUGUCUGUCUGUCUGUCUGUCUGUCUGUCUGUCUCUCUCUCUUUCUCUCUCUGUCUCUGCCUCUCUCUCUCUCUCUCUCUCUCUCUCUCUCUCUCUCUCUCUCUCUCUCUCUCUCUCUCUGUCUGUCUCUGUAUCUCUGUCUCUCUGUCUCUGUUUCUCUGUCUCUCUCUGUCUCUGUCUCUUUCUCAGUCUCUCUGUCUCUGUCUCUGUCUUUCUCUGUCUGUCUGUCUGUCUCUCUCUCUCUCUCCCUCCUCCCACUCCAGUCCUGUCUUUCCCGGAAUGCCCAGCCUGUGAGAAAUGCAGGCAGGCAUCUCUUCCCCAGUCAAUGGGUUGUUCCACUCACUCCCUGCUUCAGGUCCUUUGGGGUGACACCAGAGCCCCUGCUCGAUAAUGCCCUGUGAAUGCUAUUGGCAGCUUCUCAGCUCUUUGGAGGGCAGAGCAAAUUGGAAACCUUGUCCUGAGUACAAACAGAGCUGGGGGUGCUGGUUCUCCGGGGCUCACCGGUGGGAGAUAAGCCAGCAAGGAAGAGAGGCACUGCCCUCCCAGGCAGGCACCAGGAACUGUGGCCACGGUAGCAACCAGGCCUGCCUCAACAUUCCAGAAAUCUGAAGGGCCAGCCUGGAGAACAGACAUUACAUUAGCUCUGCUUGGCCUCAGAGGACAGGGCAAAAUGAGGAUGUCGCAGGCAGCAAUGUAGGUUCUUUGAAAGGAAAUACGUUGGAACCAGGAGAGCUGUCAGACAUAGAUGGUGACGCCCCCACAAGUGGUGAGCUCUCUGUUACUGAAUUCUCACCUCCUCCUGGGAACCUACUUCUGGGUUUUAAUUUUCCCAGUAAAGUAUGAGUCAUAAUUCUUUGCUGGAAGGGAGGGAGGAGGAAGCCUUGGGGAGAAAAGAGAAAUUUCGGAAUCUCUACUGGACUUUGAUAUUACGUCUCAGCUUCCUUUCACCCCGGAAUGUCCCUCCACCAAGUGGGCUCCCUUCUCUUGGCGGAUGCCACAUUUUGGGAAAGAGGCCCAGAAUGGCCAGUCUUCAUUCCCUUCUUGGCACUACUUCUGACCUUCUGAACUUUGCCAAAAUGCCCUCUUGAGGGUACUUUCCUUCCUCCUCCAGUUUUUCAUCUCUCCCUCCCUCCCUCCCUCCCUCUCUCUCUCUCUCUCUCUCUCUCUCUCUCUCUCUCUCUCUCUCUGUGUCUCUCUCUCUAUGU
rnacentral:lncRNA from 1 species